UCCUACGGGGGGCAGCAGUAGGGAAUCUUCCACAAUGGGCGAAAGCCUGAUGGAGCAACGCCGCGUGGGUGAAGAAGGUCUUCGGAUCGUAAAACCCUGUUGUUAGAGAAGAAAGUGUGUGAGAGUAACUGUUCACGUUUUGACGGUAUCUAACCAGAAAGCCACGGCUAACUACGUGCCAGCAGCCGCGGUAAUACGUAGGUGGCAAGCGUUAUCCGGAUUUAUUGGGCGUAAAGCGAACGCAGGCGGUUUUUUAAGUCUGAUGUGAAAGCCUUCGGCUUAACCGGAGUAGUGCCUUGGAAACU
rnacentral:rRNA from 1 species